GGGGGCGACUGGUUUCGACGGGGAAGCGGAGGCGCAAGCAGCGUGUCGAGGUCCCAUUGCCUCGUUAAACUAGUGGGAAAAUUCAACUGCCAACACUCAGUUGGCCCUAGCUGCAUAAACUGCGGCUACGUCCUUCCCGCCUUUGCCUGCCGAGGCGGAGCGGGGCGCCGAGAAAGGCGGGCUGGCUUCCUCUCUCGCCCGUGGGGGAGAAGUGAGACUUAACGGGCUGGUUCGCUCGGCAUCCUGUCCGCCGGAGGCCGGGGGAGCGAGAAACAAUAGACGGACUACGCACGUAGCGGCUUGCGUUUAAACUUCUUCGGACGCGGGUUCGAUUCCCGCCGCCUCCACCA
rnacentral:tmRNA from 1 species